CCUACGGGUGGCAGCAGUGGGGAAUAUUGCACAAUGGUGGAAACCCUGAUGCAGCGACGCCGCGUGAGUGAAGAAGUAUUUCGGUACGUAAAGCUCUAUCAGCAGGGAAGAAAAUGACGGUACCUGACUAAGAAGCCCCGGCUAACUACGUGCCAGCAGCCGCGGUAAGACGUAGGGGGCAAGCGAUAUCCGGAUUUACUGGGUGUAAAGGGAGCGUAGACGGCAGCGCAAGUCUGGAGUGAAAUCCCAUGGCUUAACCAUGGAACUGCUUUGGAAACUGUGCAGCUGGAGUGCAGGAGAGGUAAGCGGAAUUCCUAGUGUAGCGGUGAAAUGCGUAGAUAUUAGGAGGAACACCGAUGGCGAAGGCAGCCUCCUGGGACAUAACUGACGCUCAGGCACGAAAGCGUGGGGAGCAAACAGGAUUAGAUACCCCAGUAGUC
rnacentral:rRNA from 1 species